GACGAACGCUGGCGGCGUGCCUAAUACAUGCAAGUCGAACGAGAGCAACCGGUGCUUGCACUGGUCAAUCUAGUGGCGAACGGGUGAGUAACACGUGGGUAACCUGCCCAUCAGAGGGGGAUAACAUCCGGAAACGGAUGCUAAAACCGCAUAGGUCUUCGAACCGCAUGGUUUGAAGAGGAAAAGAGGCGCAAGCUUCUGCUGAUGGAUGGACCCGCGGUGCAUUAGCUAUUUGGUGAGGUAACGGCUCACCAAGGCCGUGAUGCAUAGCCGCCCUGAGGGGGUGAUCGGCCACAUUGGGACUGAGACACGGCCCAAACUCCUACGGGAGGCAGCAGUAGGGAAUCUUCCGCAAUGGACGCAAGCCUGACGGAGCAACGCCGCGUGAGUGAAGAAGGUUCUCGGAUCGUAAAACUCUGUUGUUAGAGAAGAACAAGUGCUAGAGUAACUGUUAGCGACUUGACGGUAUCUAACCAGAAAGCCACGGCUAACUACGUG
rnacentral:rRNA from 1 species